rnacentral:rRNA from 1 species
AUGUGGCGGCGGGCCGCGACGGCGGCGCUGGCGCUGGGCGCGGGCGUCGGCGCCCACGCCGUCGCCACCUCCGAGGACCCCGCCAGGACCCUCAAGAUCUGCCGGCACCUGCCCCCGCGCCUCCUCCGCGACUCCGUCGCCGCCGCCACCAUCGCCUUCGACUACCAGUACUCCCUCUGGGGCCUCCAGCCGGACUCCCCCGCCUGGCACAGCGCCAAGCACGACGCCCACCUCCGCUCCGCCAACCGCCUCCAGGAGCUCUGCUUCCGCAACGGCGGCAUCUACAUCAAGCUCGGCCAGCACAUCGCGCAGCUGGAGUAUGUCCUGCCGCAGGAGUACGUGCAGACGAUGAGGGAGUCGAUGCUGAAGAGGUGCCCCGUCUCCUCAUACGAGGACGUCCGCGGGGUCUUCAAGAAAGAGAUUGGAGAAUUGCCAGAAACUGUUUUUGCAGAAUUCGACCCUGUCCCAAUUGCAAGUGCUUCCCUUGCGCAAGUCCAUGCCGCCACAACACACGAUGGGAAAAAAGUUGCUGUUAAGGUUCAGCACGACCACUUGAUAGAUACUUCUGUAGUAGAUAUCGCCACUGUGGAUUUAGUAGUGAAUGCUCUUCAUUACGUUUUCCCUACAUUUGACUACAGGUGGUUAGUUGAUGAAAUUCGGGAAAGUGCGCCUAAGGAAUUAGAUUUUUUAUGUGAAGCUCAGAACAGUGAAAGAUGUCUGGUUAACUUCAGAAAGUUGUCUCCUCACAUUGCGAAUAGCAUAUACACCCCCAAGGUUUAUUGGAACCUCAGCACGUCAAGAAUUCUUACUAUGGAGUACAUUGAUGCCAAGGAGGUAACUGAUGUCAAAGGCAUUAAAGACCUCGGAAUUCGCCCUGUUGAUGUUUCAAACCUAGUGAAUAAAGCAUUUGCUGAAAUGAUUUUCAAGCAUGGUUUCGUUCAUUGUGAUCCCCACGCUGCCAAUAUGAUGAUCCGACCCUUGCCACAAGACAGUAAGAAAUGGUUUGUGUUAGGAUCGAAACGGCCACAACUGGUUCUUCUUGACCAUGGUCUUUACAAAGAACUUGAUCAUGCUACAAGGAUAAACUAUGCUUCACUUUGGAAGGCGCUUAUUCACGCCGAUGAGAAUGGAAUUAAGGAGUACAGUAUCAAACUAGGUGCUGGGGAGGAUCUUCAUGCACUUUUUGCUGGGGUUCUCACAAUGAGGCCAUGGAAAAGUGUCAUUGACCCAUCUUUUGGUCAUCUUGUGCUGGAUGGGAAUAAUACCGAUCGUUCUGAAAUGCAGAUGUAUGCUUCCUUGUAUUUCCCACAAAUCUCGGAGCUCCUCAGGAGACUACCAAGGGUAAUCUUGCUGAUGCUCAAGACAAAUGACUGUUUACGUGCAGUCAAUCAUGCCCUGGUUGGAGGGUCUACCCCGGAAUCAUUUGAGAUCAUUGCACGAGUAUCUUCUGAAGCUGUGUUUGAAGCUAAAAGGAUGGAGAAGAGGUUCUUUCUAUAUAGAUUUAUAAUAUGGCUGGAGGAGCUUCUGAAUGAACUUCACCUAUUUGGAAUGAAGCUGUGGUUGCAUUAUCAACAACCCAGGAGGAUACUGGCUGGGUAA